ACAAACGCUGGCGGCGUGCCUAAUACAUGCAAGUCGAACGGGGAAAGUAGCAAUAUGAGUACUAGUGGCGCACGGGUGAGUAAUGCGUGGAUAAUCUGCCUUCGAGUUGGGGAUAACUAGUCGAAAGAUUAGCUAAUACCGAAUAAGACCACAGGAUCUGAGGAUCUAGGGGUUAAAGGUUUUUCGCUUGAAGAUGAGUCCGCGUGAGAUUAGCUAGUUGGUGAGGUAAUGGCUCACCAAGGCGACGAUCUCUAACUGGUCUGAGAGGAUGAUCAGUCACACUGGAACUGAGACACGGUCCAGACUCCUACGGGAGGCAGCAGUAGGGAAUAUUGCACAAUGGAGGAAACUCUGAUGCAGCGACGCCGCGUGAGUGAUGAAGGCCUUCGGGUCGUAAAGCUCUGUCGCAGGGGAAUAACACAAUGAAUGUACCCUGUAAGAAAGGAUCGGCUAACUUCGU
rnacentral:rRNA from 1 species